rnacentral:rRNA from 1 species
GUAGGUGGCAAGCGUUGUCCGGAAUUAUUGGGCGUAAAGCGCGCGCAGGCGGUUCUUUAAGUCUGAUGUGAAAGCCCACGGGCUCAACCGUGGAGGGUCAUUGGAAACUGGAGAACUUGAGUACAGAAGAGGAAAGCGGAGUUCCACGUGUGGCGGUGAAAUGCGUAGAGAUGUGGAGGAACACCAGUGGCGAAGGCGGCUUUCUGGUCUGUAACUGACGCUGAGGCGCGAAAGCGUGGGGAGCAAACAGGAUUAGAUACCCUGGUAGUCCACGCCGUAAACGAUGAGUGCUAAGUGUUAGGGGGUUUCCGCCCCUUAGUGCUGCAGCUAACGCAUUAAGCACUCCGCCUGGGGAGUACGGCCGCAAGGCUG